CUUUUACAGAAACCCAUGGGAGUUUUGCUGGUAUUUACUUUUGGCACUUUCUCCAUUGUUUUGUAUAUCUGCUGUACUAUCCUGGAAACUUGCCAAAGCUCUGGAGGCCCAGGAAAAGGAAAAGAAUCGUAAGGAUAAGAAGAAAGCAAACAUAAAUAAAGUGAAACGGGGAAAGGCUAACUGAUAGUAUUUGCCAGAAUACUAUUUCAUUUUCAUUCUUCAAGCCCUUAUCUUUCACACGAGGCUUUCGUCAGACAAGAUGCAGGUUGGGCUGAUGAUAAAUCUACUGGAGAUAUGUAUGGGAAUACUAUUUUUCUAUUAAUGAUUUCUAGUGUUAUUACCAAGUGUUGUUUUGUAGCAAUCCUUUCUCUGGGAUGUGAUUUUAUAAGAUACCAAUCAUGCAUUUUAUAAGUAGUACAUGAAAUUAGGAGAAUCACUUGUAGUCAUGGUACAGAAGUUCUGUUGCAAUGUUAGAUAUGUCUAAAAACUUGUGUAUGGUAUUAUUUCAACAAUUCAUUGAUUUUAAGGAGUAAAGAGCAAUGAUAUCAGAAUUGUCCAUCUUCAUUUCUUUUCCUCGCCUACUCAUCUCUAACCUUCAUUAUCUUGUACCGGUAAAUAAUAAAGCUAGUAGUAUUUCUAAAUGCACACAGUAUUUAGGGAAUGUUCAUAUGUCAUUCUGUCAUUAGUAGUGUCUAAGUAAAUUCCCUAAAUUAUUCAGUUGCCAUGAUUGCAAAAACUGUGUUUUGCAGUAUACAGUAAUAAAAUGUAUAACAUUAGUCUUCUAAAAUGGUCCUUUUUAGUAACAUAAUUUUCUUGAUACACACUAAGUUUUGUAGAAUGGGAGAUAUAAUUCUCCUUGACAUCUAUAACAUUUUGAAAUACAUAAUUGAGCUCUUAACAGCAUAAGUAAAUUUUGAGGACAUUGCCUUAAAAUGCUGAGGACAUUGCUUUGAAAUGCCACAUGGGAUUGAUUCUGUUAAGAUGCUGUUUAAACUAGUAGUAAACAUUAGUAUGAAAGGAUAUGCAUUGUAUAUAUUUAAGCACAAAUUUUCCUGAAUGUUAUCCUUCCUUAGCAUUUUAUUAAGUUUAAAAACAUUUUUGUUGGUUACUUUCUACAUAUACUGACUUGCUGAAUAAUUAAUUUUAGGCUUAGUUUUGCAUUAAAGCACAUUGCCCCUCACCUUUGAACAUCAAAUGUCACAUUUUAUGGGUGCUGGUACUGAUCAUGAGUACUUGACAAGUACAAAUGAUCAUUCCUCAUCUAAAAGUACAUUUAUUUACCGCUGUAUUUAACACUGCAAACAAAAUGGUUAUUAAUGAAAACAGUACUUUCACUCUGGUUAUGGAUAAGUUUAUACAUACUGUUCCCACUAAGAUUUUGAAUAAACAAUUGGAUAAAAUUACUUGGGAAUACUUGCACAUUACAGGAAUGUUUAAAAGACUACAGCCUAGACAAUAUUCCAAUAGUGUUUGUUUUAUAGUGAUAGCAGAAAAUUAGUUUCUACCAUCUUUCCAGUGUGAUGUAUUUAUUGCUGGACUGUGAGCUUAUCUAAUCUUCCAUUAUGUUAAUUUUAUAAGCUAUGUUGUAAUAAUUGGCAAAAUUUAGAAAUUGCCUUCGGAGUUCAAUUUUCCUGCAAGAGAUAGUCAUAAAUAUAUUAUAUGUAUAUUAUAUAGGAUUAUGUUGAGUACUUUGAUAUUCAUGAACAGGAAACUGGAAUGUAUGGGGGUUUUCUUAUUACUGGCAUGUAAAUAAUGAUUAGGAAUUUUUUUUCCAAAUUUAACAUUGAACUAAAUGGCAGGAUGAAAUAACUUAUGUCAAUAACAAAUAACCACUUUACACCUUGAGCCUCUUGAUAAUAGUUACUUGAACUGUGUGUGACAUUAAUAAACUGAAUCUUAAACCAUUGAAGUUGUAAACCUGUAAUGAUUAAAGGAGUCUGGUAAAACUAAUAUUGUGAGUCACAAUUUGUAACCAAUUAAGUUACAGCAUAAACUUGAAAAAUAUGUACGAUACUGUCUUUUGUGUGGUACUACAACUAGAAAUAAAUGGUUAAGAAGAUUGCAUGUUCAGUAAUGAUAUCUGAAGUUAAAGCUUUUAUUACUGAUAAUGCAUAUGAAGGUAAAUUGAAUAACAGAAAUUUAAGACCAGCUGAAGUUUUUGCUAUUUCAGCAUCAGGCAUAAAGAAAAGCAAUGCAAGUCUCUGUUCCAACUGUUCCAUUUUGAACUUCAGACUAUGAUGGCAAGAGCAUGAAAUGUCCGUUGUUGUCCUACAAACAAAUUUCAAGGCCUGUGUGAGGUUGUUGUUUGCCUAUGUUGUGACUGGUAAUAUGACAGCAACUUUUAAAUUUUUUAGUACUGUAAGUAAAUCUUUUCAUUCUUCUAUAUUUGAUUUGAAAGAAUAUGUAUGAAAUUUGUAAUACAGGCAUCCUUCGGUUACUGUCUCCAUCGGUUAGUGGCAUUUCAGUUUUACGGCACUUGUUAAAUAUGUUUAUAACUGGGUUUUACAUUCCGUAGGGUUUAUAGUGCUGUUGUCUGGUUAUCGGUGUCUUAGGCUAGGUGCUGAGACCGCCUCAUAAAAUGCAAACAUAACGAGAUGCAUCUUUUCCUCUGCUCUUUUAAAAAGUUAUCCUUUACUUCGCUUUAUCUUGCAAUAUUGUAUGUGGUCUUGUAUUACUAUUUAUGUUAUAAAAUACAAACAAACCGAUCAUGUUUUGGUUGGGAAAAAUCAGCUGAGGGCAGAGGUAAGAUUAUUUCGCCAUAUUUAACUCAGUUCAGAGCGAUUUUCUUGCUUCUAUUUAGCGUAAAUUAAUCUUUAGAAACUCAUGCAUAUGUGACAAGGUUAAUUUUUCUUUUUAUGAAGAGUUUUUAAGUUGAAAAUUUAAGUAAAUAGGUGAACUAGACUUGGUUAUUUUUUUCGUUAAUAGACAGCGCUGUUGUCUGGUUAUCGGUACAUAUUUCGGUACAUGCCAAAGCACCAAGAGACCCUCCUAAAAUACAAACAUAACGAAUAUGCAUCUAUUCCUUGGCUCUUUUAAAAAGUUAUGCUUUACUUCACUGUAUCCAAUAAUAGUGUAUGUAGUCUCAUAUUACUACAUAUAGUAGUAUUAUAAAAUACAAACAAAGAGAUCCAUGUUUUGCUUUGGAAAAAUCAGCAGAGAGCAGAGGCAGGGUUAUUUCGCCCUACUUAACUCUAUUUUCUUGCUUCUAUUUAGCGUAAACAGGUUAUUUUUUGUUAUAUGAAGUGCUUAUAAGUUGAAAUAUGACUGAAAUAUGUACGUCUUGUUAUGAACAUGAUUGGUAUUUUUUUCGUUAAUAGAUGGUGUUGGGAGCAUGUUAUUUUGUGUAAAAAACUGAUUACAUUCGUUAUUUUCAUCCUAUAUCAUAAUAAUACGUUAUUUACGUAUUGUUAACAACAGUAAAAUAUGUUCUUUCAUGGCGAGUUAUUUUAUUAAAGUACAUUUUCUCCACUAUUAUUUGCGGUCGAGUUUCAUCAUGUUACUGAUGCACGGUAAUUUAUAGUCAUUAGCAGUGUGAAUGAACAUUGUUUUCUCAGCUUCAGCUACAAAUGCAGCUUAAAUUUAGCAGUAUGUACUCUAUACUAUAUUUCCAUGCCGUUAUUUUCUCCAUAGCGAAUAAAUGUAUGAUGUAAAAAUAUAUCAGUUCUAUUCUACUUAAUUAAUGUCAUUUGUAACAAAACUACAGUAAUUUGUUACUAUCAUAUGAUGGCUAAAAUGAAAGCAAAAUGUUAUCAGAUUUGGUUCGGUUGUUGUAGCAAAACAACUGUUAUCUUUCAGUUGGUUAUGGGUGCAGCAUUUAAGCAACAUUUAUAACAGUACUAACGAUGCUUUUAUCAUUCUCAUUUGCUUUUUUAGUUGAUUUAACUAGAAGAUAUGAUAAAUAAAGAGAUGGAGGAUACAUUAGCGCGCUCUCUCUCUCUCUCUGCAAAGAUUUACCAACAAGUUUAUUGAAUCUGACAUUAAAAAUUUGUAGAACUACCAGGCAGACCAUUGUAAAUGAUUAUCCAAAAGAAAUUCCACGUUUUCAUUAAAGAGUUAUUGCAUAUUAGGGCAAAAUAUCUGGCUGUGACACUGUCUAAGGCAUAGUCAACAAGUCUCAGGGCACCGUAAGGUGGAUUGUGAUGCCCGUAGACUUUUGAAUUUCGGUUAGAGGUGAAUUUCACUUAGCCCCAGGCCACCAGGAACAGAACCAUUGCCGUUAACCGGGGGCUGCCUGUAUACUGUCUGUGGUGCAUCUUAAAGCUGUUUAUAGUGAAUUUUAAAAAUGUUUCUCUUUAUGCUAUCUGAAAGAUUCAAAUAAUAUCUGUUUAAUGAAAUUCAUUGCUACUCUUACUUGAAUUAGGUUGUUUUAGGUUACUAGAGUUGCUGUAACACGCAUUCAUUUAAGACCUGUGUUCUGUGAUAAAAUUUACUGUUGCGAUAUCUUAAGUUAAAGUGUUUAUUGCUGGAUGGUAAUUGACGUGUAUGACCAGAAUGGUAGUUAAAAAUAUUUUUUUGCUUACAAAAGUGCUUGACAUCUUGAAUAUAGAAGUACCAAAGAAUAAAAUUUUAAAGUGAAAUUGUUA